GAGACAGAGGAGCAGACACACAGAGCGCUCAUCCUGACCCCCACAAUGACACCUACACAUCUCUCAACCUGAAGGCUGUAUCACCUGAAUACGACACACUGAAGCUGGUCUCUUUACAGAAUGCCCAUCCUGACCCUCACAAUGACACCUACACAGCUCUCAACCUGAAGGCUG